ACAAAUAGCUCAGAAGCUGAUGUUCAGUGGGUGUAUCAAGGAUUGCUCCAUGUCGAUGCAGAUGAUUAAUCCAAUUUGAAAAAGCCUUUUUUCGUUGGACUUUCAACGACCGUUAUUGUGAUGGAAUUGCACGUGACGUCAGUGACCAACAAGCUAUCUGGGUCAUUUUGUUCACUUGACACUUGUACAUUAUCACGGCCAUCAUCGUCAUCCAUGUCAAAACUCGUGCACGUACAGGAGGAUUCUGCGCAGUAAGACUCCGUAUCUUCGGACAAAUACCGAGGAGAAAAUCGUACAGAAGUAUGUUCUUUUUCACAGCUAUUAUCCGUCGUGUCCGCAGAAGUCUCGUGCUGUGCAUGUGUCCCCUCCAUCCAAUCAAAACACUUCUGGUCGUUUUCAGUCAUUUGCACACAACAGCAGUCGGACGUCGCAUUACCCGUGUUGUUAUUGUCCUCACGCACCCACUCCUGUUUCGCACGCUCCAAAAGCGUGUUUGUCUUGUCACUGAGGUCGAUUUCUUUGUCAAAUUGUCCACGACCCGUUUCAGAGGGCAACAAUAGCCCUCCCCGGGUACCAUCUGUCUGUUCCAGUGAAUUGAUAUAUUCGGCCGCCUCCGCCAGAGCCCCGAUUCCAUUGUCGUAGGUUCGCAGACGACACACGGAGCGCGUCUCACCUUUGUCCCGUUUUCUUUUCUCUUUGUUGUCAUGGAGACCAUAAACACCAUACGGAUGAAAAUUCUCCACCUGCAAAAUAGGGAACAAAACAGUUGCUGUGAUUAAGUUGAUGCGAAUGUUAACGCAAUGGACCGUAUGGUAUAAGCGAAUACCGCGCUACUUUUUUAAUGUUUGAAUAUCUUGAUCAUUAAACUCUUAAAACGACCCCUUGUCGGUGGGCAAGCUGUUUCCACUAUUAAUUUCAGCAUCCAUUAAAUAUAAUUAGAAACGGGUAUACAUACCUCACUUUUUCGUCGCCUGCCAACCCGUUUUGUAUUUGGUCUAUAAAUUAAAACAGAGGAAAAUUAGUUGAACCUUGCGAGGUAAUAAAAUUAUCAUUCUUGCUUAUUUUUAACCAUAUUUCUUUAUAUUCACGCUGUUUUGAGAAACAAGUGAAAUUACUUUAUAUUUUUUAUUGUUUCUUCUUAUCGUUGAGUCGUGGGACCAAAGAGUUUAAAU
rnacentral:sRNA from 1 species